UUUAAUCUACUAUUAAUUCCGUGAUUAUUAUAAGUAACUGUAAUAAUGACUAUUGCCUUGAUUAUUAUGCCGAGCCGAGUGCUCAAAUCAGAAAGGUACGCAUGCGCAAGACCACGCGCUUGUCCUAUCUCUCUUGCUCUCACGCAAAGGAUUCGUGAAAAAAUAAUUUAAUUCUGAUGAUCCUAAUUAGGAUAUUGAAAUAAUCUUAUCAAAUUAGUGUAUUGUCAUCGGUCCUCGAUAAGUCUACUAAGUUUAAAUGAAAUCUGACCGUUUGAAGUGGGUCAAAAUCAAGCCCAAAGGAGUCGGUUACAAAUAAACAUACAAACAAACAAACAUACAAGUGAAGCUAAUAUAAAGCGUUUUUGACAGCGAUUAAUUUUUAUACUGCAGUAUGUAUUAUAAUUAACUGCGUAUAAUUUCAAUUUUUAAUACGAGUGCUGUUUCACGGCGGGGAUCGGCAGUGACGACUGUCUGGCAUCACUUACUGAACUUAAGACACAAAUUAAAAAACUUCGACAUACUAUAGAAGAACAAGGAAGACAAAUAAAACUUAAAGAUAACUUAAUCAUUGUCAUCAAGGCUAAGAAAUUGGAAGUGGAGAAGAAAAACGAGGAGUUGAUCGAAAUAAACAAAAAGUUACAGUCUGAAGUAAUUAUUCGUACAAUAGUAAAUUGAAAAAUAUAUUUAUUUAUUGGAAGAAAUAGAAAAUAAUGUGAAGUUUUGAACUCGUUUAGAUUAUUCAUAAAAUCUUAAAUUGAAUAAUCCAUUUAUUUGUUGGGAAAAUUAGAAAACAAUACAAUCAAUCGAAUUUCUUUAAAAUCGAUUGAAUAAUUCACAAAAUCACAAAUUAAAUAAUAUAUUAAUUUGUUGGAAGAAAUAGAAAACAAUUCAACUUUUCGAGUUUGUUUAAAUUUGUUUGAAUUAGUCAUAAA